UACGGAGGGCGCAAGCGUUGUUCGGAAUCACUGGGCGUAAAGGGCGCGCAGGCGGUUUGGUAAGUCAGAUGUGAAAGCCCACGGCUCAACCGUGGAAGUGCAUUUGAAACUGCCAGACUUGAGUACCAGAGGGGAAAGUGGAAUUCCCGGUGUAGAGGUGAAAUUCGUAGAUAUCGGGAGGAAUACCGGUGGCGAAGGCGACUUUCUGGCUGGAUACUGACGCUGAGGCGCGAAAGCGUGGGGAGCAAACAGGAUUAGAAACCCUAGUAGUCC
rnacentral:rRNA from 1 species